GACGAACGCUGGCGGCGUGCCUAAUACAUGCAAGUCGAGCGAAGCGGCGGACGGGUGAGUAUCACGUAAGGAACCCACCGUUAAGCGGGGGACUACAUCCGGAAACGGGUGCUAAUACCGCAUUCUUAUCGAUGGCCUUGUGGUGGAUUAGCUCGUUGGUGGGGUAACGGCCCACCAAGGCCAUGAUGCCUAGCCGACCUGAGAGGAUAACCAGCCACACUGGAACUGAGACACGGCCCAGACUCCUACGGGAGGCAGCAGUGGGGAAUCUUGCGCAAUGGGCGCAAGCCUGACGGAGCAACGCCGCGUGUGUGAAGAAGGUUUUCGGAUCGUAAAGCUCUGUUGUAAGGGAAGCGUUAUCUUAACAGAAAGCCCCGGCUAACUACGUGCCAGCAGCCGCGGUAAUAC
rnacentral:rRNA from 1 species